UCACCUCUAGCGUUACUAGUAUUAGAGGCACUGCCUGCCCAGUGACAUCCGUUUAACGGCCGCGGUAUCCUGACCGUGCAAAGGUAGCAUAAUCACUUGUUCUCUAAAUAAGGACUUGUAUGAAUGGCCACACGAGGGUUUUACUGUCUCUUACUCUCAAUCAGUGAAAUUGACCUUCCCGUGAAGAGGCGGGAAUAAACAAAUAAGACGAGAAGACCCUAUGGAGCUUUAAUUAAUUAAUCUAAGAAAAACUACUACUAAUCAAAAGACUUAAAACAACUUUCCAAUAGAUUAGCAAUUUAGGUUGGGGUGACCUCGGAGUAUAAAACAACCUCCGAGUGAUUUAAAAGCUAGACCUACUAGUCAAACUAACAACUCAUGAAUUGAUCCAAUUCUUUUUGAUCAACGGAACAAGUUACCCUAGGGAUAACAGCGCAAUCCUAUUUAAGAGUCCCUAUCGACAAUAGGGUUUACGACCUCGAUGUUGGAUCAGGACAUCCUAAUGGUGCAGCAGCUAUUGAUGGUUCGUUUGUUCAACGAUUAAAGUCCUACGUGAUCUGAG
rnacentral:rRNA from 1 species